rnacentral:lncRNA from 1 species
CCGGUCCCAGAGCAAAACCAAAAAAAAUUUAAUUUCUGUUCAGAAUUUUUCAGAAAUUUUAUAUAAUAUCCUCAAAAUGUCCAACAUCAAAAAUACUCAAUUUCCAUCCCCAAUGACUUCCAAUAAAAUUUCAUAAAUAAAUUUUGAAAAAUUAAUUUUAAAGAUACUCAAUUUGUCAAAAAUUGUUGAUCCGAAAAUCAAAUAAAAUUCUUGAUAAGUAACAAAUAAAAUUCCACACAUCAUGCAAGAUCUAAAAAUUGAUUGUAUUGU